GAUGAAGAACGUAGCGAAAUGCGAUACUUGGUGUGAAUUGCAGAAUCCCGUGAACCAUCGUGUCUUUGAACGCAAGUUGCGCCCGAAGCCAUCAGGUUGAGGGCACGUCUGCCUGGGCGUCACAUAUCGUUGCCCAAUGCCUAUUGCAGUGCAAUAGGAAUUUCUAGGGCGAAUGAUGGCUUCCCGUGAGCGUUGUUGCCUCGCGGUUGGUUGAAAAUCGAGUCCUUGGUAGGGUGUGCCAUGGUAGAUGGUGGUCGAGUUAGAACGAUACCGAUCAUGUGCAUGCUCCCCAAAAUAUGGCCUCUAUGACCCACACGCGUCUUUUGACGCUCAUGACGAGACCUCAGGUCAGGCGGGGCUACCCGCUGAAUUUAAGCAUAUCAAUAAGCGGAGGA
rnacentral:misc_RNA from 1 species